AUGUCUAGCGCUAAUCCUAGCGAGAUUGAUCCAUUUGACAGUGUCUACUCAAACAUCCCAGACAUCACUCACAUCCUGAAACUCGCUGAAAAUUGCAAACACUGCAAGGCCAGGAAGUUUGAGUCUGAGACUGGCGGGUUCUGCUGUUGCAAUGGCCAGAUUCAGCUUAAGCAUCCGGAACCAAUCCCAGAGCUUAUGAGGCUAUGGUCCAGCAUGGAUGCAGAUUCUAGACAUUUUCGAGAGAACAUACGGUUCUCCAACGGGCAUUUCGCCUUCACAACCCUUGGCGUCAGCCUUGAUGAAAACUACACAAACAUGAAGUCUGGGGUGUACACAUUCCGAGCA
rnacentral:rRNA from 1 species